GGAAGGGGAACAUCACACUCCAGGGCCUGUUGUGGGGUGGGGGGAGUGGGGAGGGACAGCAUUUGGAGAUACACCUAAUGUUAAAUGACAAGUUAAUGGGUGCAGCACACCAACAUGGCACAUGUAUACAUAUGUAACUAACCUGCCCGUUGUGAACAUGUACCCUAAAACUUAAAGUAUAAUAAAAAAAAAAAGAAAAAAAUGUCAAGGAAACUAUAAGUACAGUGUGAUGUGUGAGGUGCUACUGAGGGGAAUAUGGUAGGAUAUAAGGCUGUCAAGAGAGGUAUAAUUUAGCUGAGAGUCUUGAAUAUAAAGACAAGAAAUGUAAAAUGGAUUUUACAGAUGAUUUUGAAAAGUGAUGUCUGAAGACUUUUGUGCUGUGGUAUUUAGUUUUAUCAAACUGAGAAAGGUCACUCUAGUGUCAUUGUUAAAGGCAAAUUAAAAUGCUAUUAAUUCAGACGUUGUAACUGAGACUAUCACAAAGAUUCAGCCUAAAAUGGAUGAAAAUCUACAGUAAAGCAGUAACAUAUUGAGGCUCCAUGUUGGAUUUUUUUUUUUUUUUUUUUUUUUUGUUUUUUUUGUACUCUCAGGAGACUGUUUUGUGCUUUCCAAAUUUGGAAAGCAUCUAUAAACUGCUAUAUUUACUUACGAGUAUUCAAGAAAAGAUUAGAAACUUCUAGAAGGCAGAAAUCUGCCCUGUGAACUUGGUAAAUGUAAGUUUACUAAAUAUGUAUGAGAGCUUCAAUUUAGUAAGUUCAAGCAGAUGCUAGCAGAGCAGUAAUCAGGAUGAGGACACAUGGAUUGGACAAAGCAGAAAGUGAGCCCUACCACAGGGAUUGGCAAACUACUGGGGUACGCACAUGGUGACGCGAUCAUCAAAUGUCAUUCUGUUCACACUCAGAAAAAGCCACAUGGAAGUGAUAGAAAACUGUUGGAUGAGGCGCUGUUCAGUGCUUUUCCUAAUUUACCAUCUUGGCAUUUUGUUCAACCAUUGCUGAUUCCCUAUAUAUUUCCUUUCACUGACUUAGUGAAUUGAACACAUGGUUUUGUUGUUAGACUUACGCUGUCUUCGUAGAUGGCAGGCUUAAAUCAUAAAAAAGUAGAAGACAUCGGAUCAAACUUUUAUUUAUUUUCUCUUUUAUCCCUUCUGACUAUUUUCCAAAUGCUUUUGCUUAGGACUCUUGUGAAACCCUGAACAGUGAAACAUAGAGCUAACUCACUGUUCUAUUGGUUUUAUAAAGCACAGAGAGCUGGGUUUACAGGACAGAGAACAAACUACUGAGAAGUGAAAAGCACAGAAGAAAAUACAUUCAGUUCCAGUGCUGGCUUGUCUACUUCCAUCAAAUGCAGCCAAGUCGUUAAAAAAUAGAAAAGUCGGCUGUGCUAAUAUGCAUAAAUUAAUCAGACAUUUUACCCUGCUCUACUCUAAUCUUAAAGGACCACAACAAAAUUUACUUUACUUGAGCACUGAUAAAGAGCAGUCAAGCUGCUGCAGCAAAAGCAAAUAAAUUAACAUGUAAAUGCAAGCAAAGUGUCAGUUUUUUAAAACUUAGGAACUGUUAAGACUAUUGUUUAGCAGAGUAUUAUUUAUUGUUCCUAUACCUGAUUAGCUUUAGCUGCGUAUUUAAACCUCUCCUUUUUGCAUGGAUUAUAAUGAGAAUAAUUUCUGAAUCUCAUAGUCUGAAAAAUUAAAAUAAUGAAUAACCACAAGAAAUCUCUGCAUUGCCUAACAAUUUUAGACCAGUCAUAGUCCUCCAACCAUCAGAAAUCAGAGGAAAUAAUGCACAAAAAUAUUAUACAGCAUAUACUUUUUAGAGGACGUAAAAAGAAUGACAGCGGUGGGUGACAGCAUUACCAAAUCGUACCAGUAAUUCUUAAUUUCUUGUUGAUAAGCAAAAUUAUAUUUAUCAAUUUAUCAAUGUAUGUAAAUCUAUUAAUAUUGCAGUUUUGUAAUUAUCCACAUCAGCUAUGUAAGUGUUAUGACUUAGUAUAAAUAUUUUGAUACUUAGCUUUAUUCUAAUUCUUUAUAGAUAAAUAAGGGUUUGAUAUAUGCAGAUGCAAUCUGGAACAAUGAACAAGGGUGAUAUAGGGAGAAAGCUACACAUAGAAGAUGAAGAGUCAUGAGUUCCAUUCUCAGGAAAGGCUAAAAUCUUUGAAUGGAAUGUCAAGAAAUACAAACUUCAUUGUUUGUUAAGCCUGUUUUACUCAGGGAAUGAACUGUCACCCUUCCUAUGGGGGGGAAAAAAAACAGAAGCAAUUUUCUACCCAGUUCAGGUCCACUUCAGUAAAUCCAGAGAUGAACAAAUGACAGUUAUAUGUUAUACAUUGGUAGAAAAUGUGAACAUGCCUCACAAGUAUAGAACUUUAGUCUCUUCUUCAACUAACUAGCUGUGUGGCCUUGGUCAACCCCAACAAUCUCUCGGUCGCAUUUGUGGAAAUGAAGUAGAUUGGACCCAAAGUGACAAAUCAUUUACACAUCAAGUGCCAACAAUGAGCUGUAAGAAGCUGCUUGGUGCUAUGUGUUGAAAUAGAAUGUGUACUUGUGUCACGGCUCAACAAGUAAGAAUGGGGGUGGGCUAUGGGCCUUUGCAGUUCAAGUGCUGCUAUUUGCUACUCCUGAAUUGGUUUAUUUCUGAGUAAUUUCUCAUUCUAAAUCUUUCUGACUCUAUGAUUUAACAUGAAGAUAAUAGGUAAUGCUGAAACACCAAGGAAAGCAGGCUUUAGGAAAGGUUCCAGUACCUAAAAAUAUCACUUUCAACUAUACUACCUUAUAUAGUGUUUAAAUUUCUCUAAUCGUUCAUUUUUUCUUAUUUAAGGCAAUGAAUUAUCAGAACUAUACCUUGGUUCAAAUGAAUUGAUGAACUUAGCUAACCUAAGAUGAUAGAAGGCCUGGGGAGAAAUUAGAUCUAUAAUAAACAUAUUUGUGUAAGUAAAAAGAAGAAAAGUUUCAUAAAGAACUUUUGGGACAUUACUGUCAAUAAAGGUAGUGCUGACUGAGACAAUGAGCAGCACAGCAACCGGGAAACCACAGGACUGGUCUUGUUGCCAAAUACUAGGAGUGUCUUAGAAGCCAGGGAUGAGGUAUUGACCAAAUACAAAAAAGAUACACAGAUACAAAUAUAAAAGAAAGCUCACUUUGGGAGGCCAAGGCGGGUGAAUCACGAGUCAGGAGAUAAAGUCUCUUCUGCUAAAGGAAGUUGAGACAAUUUGGUGCUUUUUCAAGAUUGAAUACAUCAAUAGAGAUCAUUCCUAUUACCCAGAAUUACAGCUCAUUUUUCUACCUUGCUAAAUCUAGAUAGAAAGGUCUAAAUAAAAAUAAUAGGGUACAUUCAUUGGAACUAGAAUCACCAACCACAUCAGUUUACCUUUAACAUAAUUAAAUUGAGAAAAGUAAUAUAUUUGAUUCUAUAAAUGUUUUAAAUAUUAACAGUAUUAAAAAUCAUUAACAUUUAACAACGUUUAAGUGAGAAAACAUAAAUCAUAUGCACUACGACCAUUUAAAAUGAAAAUUUACAGUAACUGGAUGAAAACACAAAACUUCAUCUAAAUGUCAAAUAUCUGUUAAAGACUAAGUGAAAAUUAUUAUUGUUUGUAUGCUUACUUCUCGCUGUUAAACAUUAUGGAUAAGGAUUUACAUAACAUUAAAUAUUUAUAUUGGUGAAAUAUAAAUGAUUCUUAAUUCACAUAACAUUUGCAUAUAUAAAAUGUGAUACGUAGAAAACUGAUAAACAGUCUGUAUUUGGUAACCUAAAUAAAGGCAUGAUUUACUCCCAUCUACCUAUCCAUUUGUUCAUCAUUUAACCAAUAUGUAUCUUGGUACAUAUCAUGUUUUACAUUGUGUUUUCCCAGAAAUAAUAAAAAGAUAAUGACUAGAGUAGUGCAAGUAGUUUAUUUGGGAAGUGAUCUCAGGAAGCAUUAGGUAUUAGGGAAGAGAGACAGGAAAUGAAAAGAAGCCAGUGGAAGGUACAUUAAUGAGCAGAUCACUGUUGUGAGCAAAUGGGGCUCAAUCCCACUGGUGGCCAUUAGAAGACAAUUUGUGUGGAUUAUAUCUCAGAGUUCUCCCAGGUCAGGGGUGAAGAUGCUGGGGUAUUUUUCUACUAACUUUGAAUAGUUAUUAGUAAAUUGCUAAAGUGUGAAUGUUUGUGUUCCUCCAAAAUUCAUGUUGAAACUUAAUCUCCAAUUCAGUAAUAUUAAGAGGUUGGGCCUUUAGGAGGUGACUAGAUCAUGAGGACUUUUGUGAAUGGGAUUAAGACAUUCAUAAAAGAGCCUUUACAGGGCAUCUGGCAGCCCUUUGCCCUUCAGCCUUCCACCAUGUGAAAGCACAGCAAGAAGGGCCUCAACAGACACUAAAUGCUAGCUUCUUGAUCUUUGACUUGGCAGCCUCCAGAACUGCAAGAAAUCAAUCUCUUCUCUUUUCUGUAUAAAUUAGCCAGUUUCAAGUAUUUCAAUACAGUGACACGAACAAACUAAGACAGGGUGUCAACUCACUGGCACUUCUAAACUUGCCCACUGUGUAUUCUCCCAUGGCCAGAGAAGUCUUUCAAGCAGACCAUUACAGGGCCUGACAGACAAGAAGUCAUUGGUAGAAACUGAUCACCGAGCAGAUUUGGUCAGGCCAUGAGCAAAAUUUACAAGAACCAGGGAGAAUGUUAGACAUUACAUAGAGAAAAUUGAAACAGAGACUUUGCCUUUGUGAAGUUUCCAGUAAAAUGGGUAAACUUUGGAAAUCAAUGAUUAUAAUACAAUAGGGAAUGACCAAAAUGAAGUUUGUGCACAAGUAGAAAGAGAACAUAGGUGUCCUUUGGAUUUUAUUUAAAAAUUACUUCAAUAUUUGAGCCCAAAUUAUUUUAUGUCAUACAGUUGCUGCCUCUCACCUUUAAUUUUAUAGAGAAUGAAAGAAAAUGGUCAUUUUCAAGAUUUUCAAGUGAUGAGACAAAAUGCUGUAUGGCAGCUAUAAUUAAUAAUGGCAAAGAUAAUUGAUUAUAUGUUGUCAGUUACAUCAGAGAAAGUUAAAGACAUUUGACACUUAACACCAAAUAACACUUUUUAUUGAAGUCACAUUUACUGAAACCCAUGGAGUAACACAUUCAGCAGUCAACAUACUCCUUUUUUCCAUUAAAUUAAGAAGAUUGCUCCAAUUCAAGAACUACUCAGAUUAUUUUGUUCAUUACCUGCAUGAAUGAAUGCAUUCUGUAACAUUCUCUAAAGGAAAGAAGGAAUUUAAGGCAUCCUGCAAAAAUGUACACAAUAAAAUGUAGUAAAAGUGGGUGAAGAAAACAGAAAAAAGAGAAAAUGUAUAGAAAGGAGAAGAUAUAAAGAAAUGUGAGAGACGAAAUUACACAAAAUUUCUUAGAACUGAGGCAACAUUUGAAUGUAAGCUUUCUAACAACUAAUGCAAAGACAGAACCAUCACACAUAGUUGAUUUGAAGAGAUUAUCAGAUAAAACCAAAAUUUGUCAGUCUAACCUUAAAUGUAAUGCAAAAUUUAGAGACACAUUUAUUCCACAAAGCCUAGCAUAUAUAGUGACAAUAUCCUCAAAAUUACAGUUUUUAUAAAUAUGAUGAAAGGUUUAUAAGGCUAUUUCUGAUAAGCUCUUUAUAGAAAUUGUCUGUAACACUAAAACUUAUAAUGAAAACACUGAGUUGUCACCAUGUGCUAGUCACUUUACUAAGUGUUUAGGUCAUUUGGCCAUCAUAACCACCCUAUACAAUGGUUAAAAUUUGUUACCCUCUUUCAACAAAUUAGGAAAAUAGCUUAGGAAAGUUAAAUAAAUUGUCCAGGAUGGUAUAUCUGUUAGAGGCAUGGAAAGAAUUCAAACUGACCCCAAAUUCAGGCUUUGAGAUGCCAGGCUUUAGGAGUUCCCACUGGUGAGGCUUUAUGUCAUGGUAUCUAAAACAUACUUAUGUUAACAAACAGAAAAAUCCAGCAAUAUGGAGCUUAUGUAAAUAUUUUAAAUUAUUACAAGUAGAAGUGUGCUUUGGCUCUCAUAGGAUUUGGGCUCCCUAGGGGAUUAAAUAGGAACUCAGAGCAAUAUACUUUGAGCAAUAUAACUUCUUAAUGUUCCUUCCAAGAUAAGCAGGUUGCAAAAUGGGUUCUCUGAAACUGAAUGAGUAAACCUGUUUCGUAUGAGUGUUAGUUGUGAGCUAACUAAAUUAUGGGGAAUGGUUACACGACUUAUGAUUUUGAAAUUAAGAACAGGCUUAUCUCUCUGGCUUGAGGAGGAAAAGACAGGGAAUAGGCAUCUUGUUCAACCAAAAUUGGCAUGAAAUGAUUAAAUAACAGGUUAAAUAGGAAAGGUAUCUGAAUUCACACUGAUUUAUUCCACUAUUUUUUUUUUACAAAAAAAAUGAUAUUCUUUUAACUUUAAAUUAGACUUAAAUUGAAUAUUUUAGAUAUUUACUUUUAAAUAAACUUAAUGGUUACAAAUUUCUAACUUGAUCAACAUUACUGGUAAUAUUACCAUUGAUUAUUAAUAAUGAUUAAAAAGUAUUUACAUGAAAGGAUGUCCAUUAUUCCCAAUAAAAGAAGAAAUUAAGAAAAAUAUUCACUUUUCUAUAUUACAGCAUUUAGAUGACAAAGGUAGAAAUCUUUUUAUCUAAUAUAAUCGUAACAAUCAUUUAAAGGAUUUGUGGAUUUUAAAAACGUAAUUUCAUGUGGCACAAUUUCUUAACAUCUGAACAUGGUACUCUACUGCCCUCUCAUGGAUAUUACAGAAGUAACAAGAAGAAUAAAGUCAACUUAAAAAGGGUCAACAAAAUGAACUUUGUUUAAAUAAAACCUGUGAUUUGUAACAGACGCACAAUUAAAUAAGUAUUUUUAUGCAGAAUAUCGCUUUUAUGAAAUGUCAUAAAAUGUUUAGACACAGGUACUUUAAAUAAUUAUGAAGUAAAAUAAAUGAAGCGUACUUUACUUAUAGAAUUGUGAACUAUGGAAUUGCUAAUGUCUCUCUUAUUCCAAAAUCCCAUUGUUCUAAAGUAUGCCAUUAUUUCCCUGAGUUUAGUAGUCUCAGGUGACUGCCAUAGAGAAAAUAACUUUAGUUUGGUAAUCCCUCCAAACCAUAAAUUGUUUUGCCAUGAUUGAUAAAUUUCUUCAUGGAACAAAAAGUAAGAAAUCUUAGAAAACUGUAAAUAUAAAUAUAAGUAGAAAUCCAAGCAUGAUGCUUAACAUCUGAGAUUGCAUUUGUGAGGUGAGGGAGGGAGUGAAAACAUGGUUGCUGCAUAUAGUUUUACAGGUUGUAGACUGUACAUCUCCAAAGGGUGUUGCCUAGAUAAGACAUUUUAAAAUGAUUGCCCACAUGUAAAUUACACCAUUAGGUAUACUUCUAGUAUUUUGAAUUAAGCAAUUCAACUUUUUUUUCCCAAUGAUAUCGGUAAGAGGUUAGGGAAAUUCAUUCAUGUUGGUGUGGAAGAACAGCCUCUCGAUGGUUAAGACAAACAAAGAGCAGAUAGCUGUUUUGUCUCUGAAGCCUGAUAUCCUUGAUCUGACCUAGCACCUCUUCUGUUAACAGUCAUAGUUCUGGGUUUAGAAUUUCACAGGCCUUAGGAACAUGAUGUAAGCACUAUUUUAACACUGUUUCUUAAUUCAUUUCAUACAUACAAAUUUGAGCAUUUCACAUGUACUUUCCAUUACUGCUUUGUAGAUAAAAGUUUUUAGAAACAUUUGCAAGUCUUAUAACAUUAUCGACCAGACUGAAAAAUUUUUAGUUUUUAACAUGGAAUAUGAUCAGAGACAUAAGAAACUAUCACCUGCUAUUGUACUGUUUUUUCAGGGAUUACCUAAUUCUAAAAAAUUGAAUAUUAAUUAUCUUAAAUAUAAAGGAAUCAAGUCCAGAUUAACUGUUCUACAGGGGCUACAAAGCCCAGGGAUAGGACGUCCUGUGGUGCUGCCAAGAAUACCACCCGCCUGAUGAACUUUGCCAUUGGCACUGGCUUCAGAAGGAAUCUGCUUGGAACUUAAUAUAGAAAAAAUACCUUGUCAGCUACUUAACAUGGAUUAAGAAUAUAAAUCAACAUCUUCAUUACUAUAAAAUUAGUCAAAAGAAAUGUUAAAUAAAAAUACAAGGCAUUGACUUAUGUCCGAGGCCAAAUCUGUAAAAUCAUAUCUUCUUGUCAUAUAAACUGAAAUGCAGUCUAGACUAAUUUACUACUAUUUUAAUCUUAAAAUGUUAUAUUUAGACAUAAUUUGUUGGGGGGAAUAUGCUUUUGUUUGUGAAUGCUUAAAUGAUUUAUUAAUAAUUCUUAUCACCUUUUAUUGCUCUAUCCUCUACUUUUUCAACUGGUUUUGAUUCCAUAAUGGCCUUCUCCUCUAGCUUCUUAGAGUUGCUCUGUUUUGAGUCACUGUCUCUCCCAAAAUAGGUUUUGAUCAUUUGCUCUGCUUUUAUAGCUAGCUUAUGGUUACUUCAGCCACUGUGCAGGACAGGUUGCUGGAGCCUCUUAGGCAGUGGUAGAUUGGAAGAUAUGCUGUUUUACUAUCUCUCCAGUAGAUUUUGUGUCACAGGAUUCCCUGGGAUUUCUCUGCUGAACUGUUUUAGGAGAUAUCUGAUGAGCUUUUACUAGUGAGUAUUUAUUCAGCAUCUACUGCAUAUUAGGUAUUGCGGCUUUUUAAUUUUUUCAUUUUUUGAGACAGGAUCUCACAUUGUAACCCAGGCUGGAGUGCAGUGGUAUGACUUUGGUGAUCCUCCUGCCUCAGCCUCCCAAGUAGCUGGGACCACAGGCAUGCUCCAACAUACUCAAUUUUUUUUCUUUUUUCUUUUUUUUUUUUUUGGUAGAAACAGGAUCUCACUAUCUUGACCAGAUUAGUCUUGAAGUCCUAGUCUCAAAGCACUCAAUUCAUUCAACCUCCCAAAGUACUAGGAUUACAGGUGUGAUUCACCAUGUCCUGCUGCAUUUUUUUUUAAUGUGGGGGACUUAAUGAAGGUAGAGUGCCUUAGUUUACUAGGGCUGCCACAACAAAAUACCACAGACUAGUGGCUUAAAUAACAGACAUUUAUCCCUCACAGUUGUGGAGGAUAGAAGUCUAAACUUCAGGUGUUGGAAGUUUGGUUUCUCCUUUGGCCUCUUUCCUCAGCUUGCAGAUGACACCUUCCCACUGGGUCCUCACAGGACAUUUUCUUUGUGUGCUGCAUCCCUUCCUCUUCUUAUGAGGACACCAGUCAUGUUGGAUUAAGGACUAUACCCUUAUGACCUCGUAUAAGCUUAAUUACUUUUUUAAGAGUUCUAUCCUCAAAUAGUGUCACACUGGGGAUUAGGGCUUCAACAUAUCUACUUGGAAGAGACACAAUUCAACUCUUAAUACACAGCACAACACUUAAAUAUUUCAGCUUUGAGUUCAGACCACCAUAGUCUGAAUUCCAUCUCUACUCUUUACUAGCUGCACGAUACCACACAAAUCAUUUAAAAGAAAACUAAGCUGUCUGAACGUAUUCACCUAAAUUUAGUGAGUAAUAAUACAAUCUAGCUUAUAGUGCUAUCACUUAUUUCAAUUAAUACUAAAACAAAAACCUCUAUGAGGCAGUUCUUGAGAACAAGCUUUAAAUAUGUUUUCCUAAUUACCGUUUAUAACCAUAAGACAUUUCAUAGGAACCGAAACAAGCCCUUGAAAAGUAUUUUUAAAUGAGUACAAUAUUAAAAACAAUGACUUUUAAUGGCAGAAGAGAACUUUGAGACCAUCUUCUUUACACCCAUAAACCAAAAUGAAUCACCAAGUUGUAUUUUUCUUCUGACUAGACCAUAUUCAACAUCUGAAAGACUACUGAAAAUAACACAUAGAAAUGCAAAGUUGCUUUAUAUCUAAAUUAUUUUUAUUUAAAGACAGCCUGAUAAAGCUGCCUGGUUGUUGCCUACUGUGAAUUAUGUUUCUCUAAAACAAUGUGUUUUCAUUUUAUCAACUUCAUCAGUAAAGCCAAAAUCUGAAGAAGCAUAAUUUCAACCUUCCUCUUUCACUUACUUCUAAACACUCACUGUCUUAGCGAUCUGUAAAUAAUUGACCAGCCAAGCACUGAAGCACAAAGACAAAUAGAUCAAUAGUCCUCCUGCAAGCGCUUACAGCAGGGAGAGAAACCGUUUCCCUUCAUUUCCUAUCACACAGGACCUCAUGCAUGAAUCAAUCUGCAGUCUGCAGCCCCCAGAUUUAACUCAGCAUGCAUAAUCAGCAACAACUGCUGAAGUCUUUGAUUAAACUUUUAAAUUGCCUCUUAAUAUGAUGUAAAUGGAAAAAGGUAUUGAUUAAAGAACCUUAAAAUGGUAACCUGUUAAAAUGAGAAAGGACAAACGCUUUGAGUUGGUGAGCCUGUACAGAAGGAUGACUAGCGUGCACAAUGCACAAAGGAUCUCCAAAGCACAAAUGCAAAACAAACAGUAAUCAUACCUACUGGUCCUCAUGUUCCUGGGCUUGCAAAACUUAGGGGAAGUUGUUGAAUGAUGUGAUUUUUUUUUUUUUUUUUAAAUAAUGACAAGUGAGAAUUGCUGGGUAAACACAAUCCCCUGUACCUGGGCAUUUUAAAAGUUUUCUUUCCCUUUCUCUUGGGUUUCAUUAUAUAACCUUGAAGCAAACUGCAACAGCUUUUUCCUUUAGCCUUAAAAUAGACUCUACAUCCCUCACUUUCUCACUGUAUAUAUUCCCUUUACAUUUAUCUAACUGUAUGUUAGUAUCUAUGUGUCUUAGAAGUUCAAGGGGCUAAUCUUAAGACAGACAGAUCAAGUCUGGAGACCCAGCUACAGAAUUCCAGAGAUUAAUUCAAACUGGCUAGCUAACAACCUGAUCAUUACUGAGAUGACACCAGCCCAAGGUCAGGUGGACUGAUAGCCACUAGAGCAACAUGCACAAAUAUCGUCUCAGCCCAAUUUUUGCCUGACUUCUUUAUCAAGUUUUCUUUUUUUAAACCCCUUCCUUCCCCCUCAAAAUCAAAGCUGUUACCUUGGGUAAAAAUCUGACUGCUUCCCCUUUACUAGUUUUAGUUAAUAAGUUUACCUUCUUUCUACCAGAACUUGCUCUUACUAAUUGAAGCUUGCAAGUGACAAGCAUCAGGACCUGCAUUCGGCUGAAGUCAUCAAAGGGUUUCCAUUUUUACCCUAAAAAAUUGUUUUUUUUCCACUGUAAUUGAUUCUGGAUUUUAUAGAAGUAACUAGUUGUGGAUCUCAUUUCCCAAUAAUAGUAUUUUCUCAAACAUAAAAUUAUAGUAAGUAUAUCAAAUGAAAUAUUGUCUACUAUGAAAAAUGUAUGUAUUGACUCUAAUCAUACUAAAAAUAUUGAGCACUAAAUAUAUGUCAGAAUCUUUUCUAGGUGCUGAUGACACAGCCAUAAAGAAAAGUGACAAAGCUCUCUGCAUUUGUAGAGCUUAAUUUCAAAAACAGAAAGAGAAAAAAAUAAGAUAAUAAGUGUCAUAUAGGGUUUCUUGAAUAAUAAGUUCUAUGGAAGAAAGAAGAACAGAGAGUAUAUAUAUGGGGGAGGUAACAAUUUGGAUAUGGAAAGUACCAAGAAAGGCCUACUGAGACGGUGACAUUCGAGUCACAUGCUAAAGGGGGUGAAGAAAUGAGUCAUGCAUGCAGUUUUCUGAAAAUACUUUAAACAGAGGCAACAUCAAAUGCAAAGGCCCUGAUGUAGAAAUCAAGCUUCCUUUGCAUUGGCAAAAGAUGAAGUAAAGCAGUAUGGGUGAACGCCAUAAGUGACUGGAAAAGGAGCAAGAAAUGAUUUAAGAAAAGUAUUAGGAGAUAAGAUCAUAUAGGGCUUUGGAGGCAACUUUAAAGACUACUUUUAUUCCAAAUGCAAUGGGUUGUCAUGGAGGACAACCAUGACAUUCUUUCCUUUGAGCAAAAGAAGAAUAGCAUCUGACAUCUGUUCUGAUAGAAACACUCUGGAUGAUGAGUUGAUAGAUUGUUGGGAGUGAUUAGAAUAGCAUAAGAUGAGAUGCAAUGGGAUGAGACAGGAUGGAAGAGAAGAGAAGAGAAAAGAGAAAAAGUGGAGGGGAGAAGCGGGGGAGACUGAAUUACCAAGAAGGUAGGAGGAGUAGAUCUUAAAGUGAGAAGUUCAAGAGUACAGUUUUACACAAGUUAUAUUUGAGAUAUUUAUUUAUAUAAUUAGUUUUUAAAAUCUUUAUGGGUACAUGGUAGAUGUAUAUAUUUACGGGAUAUUUUGGUGUAUAUAUUGAUGAGGUAAGUGUAUAUAUUUAUAAAAUAUUUUGAUACAAGCAUAAAAUGUGUAAUCACACCACGGUAAAUGGGGUAUGCAUUACCUCAAGCAUUUAUCAUUUCUUUGUUACAAACUUUCCAAUUGUACUCCCUCAGCUAUUCUAAAAUGUAUAUAAAAUGUACAACAAAAAAUUAUUGCUGACUGGGCCGGGCGCGGUGGCUGACGCCUUUAAUCCCAACACUAUGGGAGGCCAAAGUAGGUGGAUUACCUGAGGUCAGGCAUUCAAGACCAGCCUGGCCAACAUAGUGAAACCCCAUCUCUACUAAAAAGUACAAAAAUUAGCUGGGUGUGGUGGUGGGCACCUGUAAUCUCAGCUACUCGGGAGGCCGAGGCAGGGAGAAUUGCUUGAACCCAAGAGGCGGAGGUUGCAGGGAACUGAGAUUGCACCACUGCACUCCAGCCUGGGCAACAAGAGCAAAAUUCUGUCUCAGAAAAACCAAACCAAACCAAACCAAACAAAAACAAAACAAAAACUAGAGCUAGACUCCAUCUCUCUCUCUCUCUCUCUCUCUCUCUCUCUCUCUCUCUCUAUAUAUAUAUAUAUAUAUAUAUAUAUUGCUGACUGAACUCAUCCUGUUGUGCAAGCAACUGCUAGGUCUUAUUCAUUCUAUCUAACUAUUUUUGUGUGCAUUAACCAUUCCCAUUCUCCCUCACCCCUACAAUUCUCAGCUUCUGGUAACCGUUAUUCUACUCUCUAUCUCCCCGAGUUCAACUGUAUUAAUUUUUAGCUCCCACAAGUGAGAAUAUGUCAUGUUUUUCUGUGUCUGGAUUAUUUCAUUUAUUAUGUCCUUCAGCUUCAUCCAUGCUGUUGCAAAUGACAUGAUCUCAUUCUUUGUAAUGGCUGAAUAGUACUUCAUUGUGUAUAAGUACCGCAUUUUCAUUAUCCAUUCAUCUGUUGAUGGACACUUAGGUUGAUUCCAAUUCAUAGCUAUUAUAAAUACUGCUGCAAAAAUCAUGGGAGUGCAGAUAUCUCUUUGAUAUACUGAUUUCCUUUUUAGGGUAUACAUACUUAGCAGUGGUAUUGCUGGAUCACACAGUAGUUCUAUUUUUAGUUUUUUGUGGACCUCUAUACUUUUCUCCAUAGUGGCUGUACUAAUUUAUAUUCCCACAGUGUAUGAGGAUUCCUGUCUCCACAUUCUCGCCAGAAUUCAUUAUUGCUCAUCUUUUGGAUAAAAGCAUUUUAAAUAGGGUGAGGUAAUAUAUCGCUGUAGUUUGGAUUUGCAUUUCUCUGAUCAAUGAUGCUGAUCAUAUUUUCAUAUAUUUGUUUGCUAUUUGUAUGUCUUUUUUGCGAAUUGUCUAUUCAGAUCUUCUGUCCACUUUUAAUUGGAUAAAUAUAUUUUAUCCUAUAGAGUUGUUUGAGCUCCUUAUAUAUCUGGUUAUUAGUUUCUUGUCAGAUGGAUAGUUUGCAAAUAAUUGUUUCCCAUACUGUGCGUUGUUUCUUCACUUUGUUGACUGUUUCCUUGGCUGCAUAGAAGCUUUUUAAUUUGAUGUGACCCCAUUUGUCCAAUUUUGGUUUGGUUGCCUGUGCUUGUGGGGUAUUAUUCAAGAAAUAUUUUCCCAGACCAACAUCCUGGAAAGUUUCCCCAAGGUUUUAUUUUAGCAGUUUCAUAGUUUGAGAUCUUAGAUUUAAGCCUAUAAUCGACUUUAAUUUUAUUCUGUAUGGGAAAAAAGAUAGCAGCUAGUCCCAUUCUUUUGCAUACAUAUGUUCAGUUUACCCAGCAUCAUUAUUGAAGAGACUAUCCUUUUCCCAAUGUAUGUUCUUGGCACCUUUGUUAAAAAUGACUUCAUUGUAGGUGUAUAAAUUUAUUUCUUGUUUCUCUAUUCUCUUUCACUAGUGUAUGCAUCUGUUUUUAAGUCAGUGGCAUGCUGUUUGGGUUACUAUAGCUCUGUAGCAUAACUUGAAGUCAGGUAUGUGAUUCCUUCAGUUUUGCUCUUUUUGCUAAGAAUAACUUUGGCUGUCCUGGGACUUUUAUGGUUCCAUAUAAUUUUUAGGAUUUUUUUUCUAUCUUUGUGAAGAUUGUCAAUGCUAUUCUGACAAGGAUUGCAUUGAACUUGUGGAUUGCUUUGAAUAGUAUGAACAUUUUAACAAUAUUAUUUUUCCAAUUCAUGAACAUUCUAAUCCAUAAACAUAGAUUAUCUUUCCAUUUUUAUGUGUCAUCCUCAAUUUCUGGCAUCAACGUUUUAUAGUUUUCUUGUAAAGGUCUUUCACAUUUUUGGUUAAGUUUAUUAUCAGGUAUUUUAUUGGUAGCCAUUAUAAAUGAAAUUAUAUUCUUGAUUUAUCAAAUUGUUCACUGUUGGCAUAUAGAAAUGCUAAUGAUUUUUGUAUGUUGAUUUUGUAUCCUGCAACUUAACUGAAUUUAUCAAUUCUCAUCAUUUUUUGGUGAAGUCUUUAGGUAUUUCCAAAUACAAGAUCAUAUCAUCUGCAAAGAAGGAUAAUUUGACUUCUUCGUUUACAACCUGGAUGUCUCAUUUCUUUCUCUUCCCUGAUUCAUCUAGCUGAUACUUUCAGUACUGUGUUGAAUAACAGUGGUGACAGUGGGCAUCCUUGUUGUGUUCCAGACAUUAGAGAAAAAGCUUUUAAUUUUUUUCCAUUCAGCAUGAUAGUCUCUAUGAGUAUGUAAUAUAUGCCUUUAUUUUGUUGAGGUAUGUUCCUUGUAUACCCAGGUUUUUGAGGGAUUGUAUCAUGAAGAAAUGGUGAAUUUUAUCAAAUGCUUUUCCAGCAUCAAUCGAAAUGAUUAUAUGAUUUUUGUCCCUCAUUCUGCUAAUAUAAUGUAUCAUAUUGACUGAUUUGCAUAUAUUGAGCCAUCCUUGAUCCAUGCAAUAAAUCCCACAUUGUGGGAUUUAAGAUGCAUCAUUAGGUUAUGUAUUUGAAAGUUGUUUUUUUUUUUUUUUUUUUUCACUUUUUUGGUGUAGGCACUUGUUGCUAUUAACCUUCCUCUUACUAAGGUUUGGGUAUGUUGUGUUUCCAUUUUCAUUUACCUCAAGGAAUUUUAAAAUUUCCUUUUUAAUUUCUGGUCAUUCAGGAGCAUAUUGUUUACUUUCCAUGUGUACACUUUUCAAACUUCCUCUUGUUAUUGGUUUCUAGUUUUAUUCCAUUGUGGUCGAGAAGAUAUUUGAUAUUAUUUCAAUUUUUCUGAACGUUUUAAGACUUGUUUUGUGACCUAAUGUAUGCUCCAUCCUUGAGAAUGAUCCGUAUUCUGAGGAGAAAAAAUGUGUAUUCUGCAGCCAUUGGAUGAAAUGUUCUGUAGAUAUAUAUUAGGUCCAUUUGGUCUAUGGAGCAGAUUAGUUAUAAUAUCUCUUUGUUGAUUUUCUGUGUGCAUUAUCUGCCCAAUGCUGAAAGUGGAAUGUUGAAGUUUCCAACUAUUAUUGUAUCUCUCUCUUUAGCUCUAAUAGUAUUUGUUUUCUAUAUCUGGGUUUUCCAGCAUUGGGUGCAUAUACAGUUAUAAUUGGUAUAUCAUCUUGAUGAAUUCAUUCCUGUAAAAUUACAUAAUAAAGUUCUUUGUCCCUUUUUUGUGAUUUUUGUCUUAACAAUUUCUUCUAUCUGAUGCAAGUAUAGUUAUUCCUGUUCUUUUUUGGCUUUCAUUAGUAUGGAAUAUCUUUUUCCAUCUCAUUAUUUUCAGUCUAUUGUGUGUCUUUACAGGUGAAAUGUGUUUCUUAUAAGCAAUAGAUCAUUAGGUCUUACUUUUUAUCCAUUCAGUCACUGUUUUUGAUCAAAGAGUUUAGGACAUUGACAUUCAAUGUUAUUAUUGAUAACUAAGGACUUACUCCUGACAUUUUGUUAUUUCUUUUCUGGUUGUUUUGUGGUUUUCACUUUCUUCCUUCCUUCUGUCCUAUAUUCUUUUUGUGAAAGUGAUCUUCUCUGGUAGUAUGUUUUCAUUUCCUGCUUUUUUUUUUUUUUUUUUUUUUUUUUUUUUUUUUUUUUUUGAGACAGAGUCUCACUCUGUCACCCAGGCUGGAAUGCAGUGGUGCAAUCUUGGUUCAAUGAAACCUCUGCUUCCUGGCUUCAAGCGAUUCUCCUGCCUCAGCCUCCCUAGUAGCUGGGAUUACAAGCACCUGCCACCACACCCAGUUAAUUUUUGUACUUUUAGUAGAGAUGGGGUUUCACCAUGUUGUCCAGGCUGGUUUUGAACUUAUGACCUCAAGUGAUCUGCCCACCUUGGCCUCCCAAAGUGCUAGGAUUACAGGCGUGAGCCACCGUGCCUGGCCCUAAAUGUUUUCUUGAUUUGAAAUUCCCAUGAGGCUCACAAAUAUUAUCUUAUAAUCUAUUAUUUUAAAUUGAUGACAAGUUAACUCUGAUUGCAAAAACAACCAAAGAAACUAAACAAGCAAAGGAAAAACUAAAGACAUUCUACACUUUAACUUCACCUCUCCCACUCUUUAACUUUUUGUUGUUUCUGUUUAUAUCAUACUAUACUAUCUAUGUCUUUAAAAGUUGUAGUUAUUAUUUUGGUAGUUUCAUCUUUUAGUCUUCCUACUAAAGAUAUGAGUAGUUUACAUACCAGAACUGCAGUGUAUCUGUCUGUGUACUUAAUAUUACCAGUGAGUUUUGUACCUUCAGGUGAUUUCUCAUUGCUCAUUACAUCCUUUUCUUUUAGAUUGAAAAACUCUCUUUAGCCAUUCUUGUAGGUUAUGUACAGUGUUGAUAAAAUCUCUCAGCUUUUGUUUGUCUGGGAAGCUCUUUGUAUCUCCUUAAUCUUUGAAAUAUAUUUUUGAUGGAUAUACUAUUCUAAGUUAAAAGUUUUUUUCCAUCAGCACUUUAAGUAUAUCAUGCCACUCCCUCCUAACCUGUAAGGUUUGCAUUGAGAAAUCUGCUGCCAGAUGCAUUGGAGCUCUUUUAUGUGUUAUUUAUUUAUUUCUUUUCUCUUGCUAUUCUUAGAAUCUUUCCCUUAUUCUUGACUUUUGGGAGUCUGAUUAUUAAAUUUCGUGAGGUACUCUUAUUUGGGUUAAAUCUUCUUGGUGUUUUAUAACCUUCUUGUAGCUGAAUAUUUAAUAUCUUUCUCUAGGUUUAGAAAGUUCUCUGUUGUCUCUCUGAAUUAACUUUCUCACCAAUAGCUCCUCUUUAAGAUCAAUAACUCUUAUGUUUGCACUUUUUAGGCUAUUUUCUAGAUCUUGUAUGUGUGUCUUAUUAUUUUUUAUUCUUUUUGUCUCCUCUGUGAAUUUUCAAAUAGUCUAUCUUCAAACUCACUCAUUCUUUCUUCUGUUUGAUAAAUUAUGCUGUUGAGAGACUCUGUUGCAUUCUUCAAUUUGUCAAUUGAAUUUUUACAGAGCAGCAGAAUUUUGAAGAGCAGCUCCAGAAUUUCUGCUUGAUUCUUUUUAGUUAUUUCAAUGGCUUUGUUAAAUUUAUAUAAGAUUUUGAAUUCCUUCUCCUGUGUUUUCUUGGAUAUCACUGAGCUUCCUCAAAACAGCUAUUUUGAAUGCUGAAAGGUCACAUUUCUUGUCACUCUGAAAUUGGUCACUGUUGUCUCUUUUAGAAGAACUAGGUAUUUAUUCUAAUAUUUGCAGUCUAGGCUUGUCUAUACCUGUCCUACUUGAGAAGGUUUUCCAUGUAUUGAAAGGGAAUUGAGUGUUGUGUUCUAAGUCUUUGGUCACUGCAGCCAUAUGGGCAUUAGGCAGCACCCUAUGCCCAGCAACUCUAAGACUCUUGCAGACUUGUAUAUGUACCACCUUGGUGGUCUUGGGUAAGAUCCAGGAGAAUUCCAUGGAUUACAUGGGAGAGUCUCUUGUUUUCUUUCCUUACUUUUCCCCAAACAAACAGAGUCUCUCUCUCUCUCUGCUGAGCUACCUAGAGCUGGAGGAGUGGUGACACAAGCAUUCCCAUGGCCACCACAGCUGGGACUGUGCCUCGUCAUACCUGAAACAAGCUGGUUCUUGCCUAAGGCCUGUUGUGACUAUUCCUUGGAUACUGCUGAGUUUGUUCAAGGCCCAAGGCCUCUGUCAGCGGGUGAUGAAUCCUGCCAGGACUAAGUCUUUUCCUUCAGUGCAGCAGGUUCCCUUCUGGCCCAAGGUGGGUCUAAAAAUGCCCUCCAUGAGCUAGGGACUGGUAUCAGGGACUUUAGGAAUUGGCUUGGUGCUUUCUUUUACUGGGGUUGAGCUAAUACUCAGGUUGCAAGACAGAAUCCUCUUUACUUAUCCCUGUCCUUUCCUGAAGCAGAAUCUCUGCCCACGGCCAUAACUGACCCAGAUUUGUGGUGACUGUAGCCUGGAUAUCACUGGUGUUUAUUCAAGACCCAAGGGCUCUUUAGUCAUAAAGUGGUGACUUCUUCCAGGACUCAGUCUGUUUUUUCAGGGUAACAGGCUUCCUUCUGGCCCAAGGUGGGCCUAAAAACACUCUCCAGGAGCUAAAGCCUGGAAGUAGGGCAUUUAGGAGUCUGAGUGGUGCUUUAUUUUACUGUGGCUGACCAUGUGCCAAAGUUGUAAGACCCUUCCCUCUCUUUUCCUCAAACAGAAGGAGUCUCUUCUUAUGGUCACCACAGCUGGGAGUGUCCUGGGUCACACCUGAAGCCAGCAUAAUAUUGGGUCUUUCCCAAGGCCCAUGGCGACUGCUGCCUGGCUACUGCUGAUGUUUAUUCAAGGCUCAAGGAUUCUUAAGCCAGCAGGUUGUAAAUUCUGCCAGAACUGGGUCCUUCUCUUCAGGCCAUUGGAAUCCUUUGUGGCCCUGGGUGGGUCUAAAAACAUCAUCUGGGAGCUAUGGCCUGGAAUGGGGACUUCAGGACUCUGCUUGCUGCUUCAUUUUUACUGUGGCUAAGCUGGAAUCCAAGUUGCAAGACAAAGUCCUCUUUACUCUUCCGUCUUCUCCCACAGUUGCAAGCUGCACUGCCUAAAGUUGGGAGAAGGGUGAUGCAAGUAUCCCCUUAGCCAACCCAGCUGGUAUCUCACUAGGUCAUAUGUACCCAACGUCCAAUGGCUUCAAACCCAGCACAGCACCAGACCUUCCCCAGGAAUUAAUUACAAUCCUUGUGGCCUAGACUGCCUUUCAAGUUUAUUUAGAAACCCAUUGUGCUUUAGCCCACUGUGAUGGGUACAGCUAGAACUCCAGUUCUGAUAACUGGGACGGAUGAUUUCCCCUUGGGUAGCGCUGGUCUAAAUGCUUCCUCCAAGCUGGCCAAAUCUGCUCCGUGUUGCUUUCUGCUGUGACAGGGCAGCACUGAGUUCCAAUGCAAACUUCCAAUUUCCCAGUGAAAACUUCACUACAUUUUCCUUCCCCCAAGAGCACAGAUUCUCUCUUCCCACACCAUUUGACACUGCUGGGAGAUAGGAGAGGGGCGGUGUAGACAAUUCAAGACUGCCUUUUCUACCAUCUUUCCUGCUUCUUUCCUUGAUAUGAUGUUAGAACUGGGUACCAUGAUUGCUCACCAGAUUUUUGGUUCUUAUGAAGGUACCUUCUUCUGUGGAUAGUUGUUCAAUUUGAUGUUCCUUUGGGGGAACAAUCAUUAGUGGGUUCUGUUUGGCCAUCUUGCAUCACCUCUAUUUAUUUAUUUUUAUUUAUCACAUACUAGUGUAGGCAUUAAUUAGCUAUAGACUAUCUGUUUCUGGAGCUUGGAAGACAGAUCCAGGCUAAAAAAAAAUAUUGAGAAUCAUGCAUGCUUAGAGAACAGUUAAAUUUAUGACAUUCGGAGAAAAUCUAUAAGAUAACACAAUAAAACAAAAUAACAGUUAAAUUCAUGAUGUUUGGAUAAAAUGUAUAAGAUAAUGGAAAAAACAAAGAAGAAUUCCAAGAACUAAGCCCUGCAGCACUCCAACAUUUAGAAGUCAGGGUGGGCAAUGAGGAACUAGCAAAUAAGACAGAGACGAUGUGGUCAGGAAGACUGGCAAAACAGUCCGGUAAGAUGAGGACUGAGCUGACCUUUGGAUUUAGCAGCAUGAAGUCAUUGGUGACCUUAAAAAGAAGAGUUUCAGUGAACAGGUAAAGGAAGCAAUGCCUAUUUGGAGUAGAUUAAAAAAAAAGUUUAGAAGAAAGAAAGAAAGCUCUUUCAAAGUGUUUUUCUAUAAGGGGAAAAGGAAUAGGUGGGGUUGAAGUAGAGAGAAAAAUGAAGUGAAGAGAAUAUUUUUAAGAUAAAAGAAUAGUGUAUUUUCAUAUUGAUGAGAAAUACCCAGUAGAGAAUGAAAAAUGAUGUAUCAGGAGAGAAUGGAAGGAACUGUUACAGGAUGGAAUGGGACUAAAAAGAGGACAGAGCAAAGGUAUAAGUGGAAGGGAAGGCCACUGCAAAGAGAACAGAUGUUUAUCCAGAGGUAAAGGAGUGAUGGCAGAGCAUAUGACUACAGAUCCAGGCAGCUAGGGAGAUAUCACAGAGGGAGUUUUUGAAAGUUCAUGUUGAUCGCUUCUACUUUUAUAGUCAGAGUUAUCUCCUGAGAAUACAGAUGAGAGAAAGCUAUUAAACCUUAAGGGAAAGUAUGAAAGAAUCAUCCAGUGGGUUGAGAGAAGGUAUAAGUCAGGGAAACAUAAUAUGAUUAUUUUGUAGCAUUAAGAACUCACUGGAGGCUGAUGCUAAUGAAUUUAAAAUAAAACAAGCCAGUAUGGAAGUCUGAACAAACAUAUUAAGUAUGUUCACCUGUAGGGGUGCAGGCCUGAAGUAGGAGAAUUGCAUUAUAUAACUAGAGUUGACAUUUUGUUCAUCAAUUGAUAAAGAGGAAAAAACGUUUAGGGUAUAUGCAAAGAAGUGAUUAUAGUGGUGCUAUGGUCUGAAUAUUAGUGUCCAUGUCAUAUUCAUUUGUUGAAAUCUUAACCCCUGUGGUGAUGGUAUUUGGAGGCAGGAUCUUGGGUCACAAGGGUAGAACCCUAAUGAAUGGCAAUAGAGCCCCUAUAAAAAAAGGAAACAGACCUUUUGCACCUUCUAACAUAUGAGAACACAUGAAACAGUGCCAUCUAUGAACUAAGAAACGGACAUUCAUCAGAUACCAAAUCUGCUGGUGUUCUAAUUUUGGACUUCCCAGCCUUCAGAACUGAGAUAAAUACAUUUCUGCUAUUUAAAAUCUACCCAGUUUAUGAUAUUUUGUAAUAGCAGUUCAAACACACUAAGACAAAUGAUAAAAUACACAAUUUAAGCUGAAUAAGGAGGGAACUAAGAAUAAGAUAUAGGUAAGUUUCAGAGGAUAGUUGGCAGAAUCAAUGCAAAAAAUUAGCCCAAAUUUAUUUCAACAUAUGCCUCAAUAUACUAUAAGACCAAUGUUUCACUGAAUUCAUUUUCUGAAAAAAAUUCCUCUAGAUGAACUGUAGAAACGUUACUUAAUAGUAAUAACAAUUAAUGGUCUUUAUUAAUAUUUCAGAUUGUUUAAAGAUCUAGUGCAUAAGAGAUAGUAAUAUUAUAAAUACUUAAUAAUUUACCCAUGUCUUUAUCUAAAAGGCACUAAAAGUAUAUUUAUACUUAAUUGUGAUUUCUUUCUAUUCUGAAAUUCUAAAAAAUAUAUCUUAUGUAAAGCGCUAAAGAUAUUUUAAAAUUUAAGGAAGAGAUUAACCCAACCAAGUUAUUCACUGAGUAUUCGGUUAACUUAUGAAAAUGUAACUCAAAAGAUUCAGACUGUGUAAACACUAUAAAGUUACUGUAAAUUGUUCUGUUUUAAAAUGAAAGGGUUAGACUAGAAAAUUUCUAUAGUUUCCCCAAGGACUAAAAUUAUAGGUAUUUAUGAAAGCUAAUUGACUUAUUAAAUGAAAGUGCAGCUAAUUUAUCUCUUUUAAUAAAAAUAAAGCUAGUUUUACAAGAAUAAUCUUUAAAAAAUACCCUCAAAUACCCUUCCUGGAGAUAUAAACAAAGGAUUUGGAUUCUUAAAUAUCUCCAGCUUUGGGAAAUACUUCGUAUCUUCAACAUCCUUCUUUUUUAAUUUCACAAGAAAAUUUCCUUAAUAUCCUUCUUAAUAACAUGAAAAUCUGAAGUUUAAAAAAGCAGUCUCCUCAGAUUAUGCAGUAGAAUACUGAACAUAAACUCUCUAUAUCUCUAUAUGGGGUGUGCCUGUGUGUGAAAGACAGGGAGGGAAGGAGAGGCAGGAAAAGAGAAGAGGAGGGAGAGAGAAAGGUUAUAUAACAGACAUAUCAAAAAAACUGCUAUAAUUGUAUGCUAGAAUACAGCAUUAUAAUCACAUUAAAAUAAGAAUGAUUAAAUUUCAUACAGACUGCAUAUCUGGUUUGAGGCAAGAUCAAGUAAUAAGCACAUUACUUAAUUUUUUAU
rnacentral:lncRNA from 10 species